rnacentral:ncRNA from 1 species
CUGAUUUAAAGGCAAACGGAGGGAAACCUCCGGACGCAAAGCCGCGGACCCUACCCUGAGUUGUCAGAUGAGCUCAGAAGGGUGGCCGGGUUGCCCGA